rnacentral:tRNA from 1 species
AGCAUUAGCCUUUUAAGCUAAAGAUUGGUGAUUAUAACCACCCUUAGUGA